UUACAGUCAUAUCACGUUGAAACACCGAUUCUCGGACGAUCAACAAAGUUAAGGAAGGUCGAGUCUAGUCAGUACCUAGAUGGGUGACCGCUUGGGAAUAUCAGGUACUGUAA